CAGAUAUGAGUAUGGACUCAUUAGGACAGGAGAUUGAUCAACGAGCCUUACACGGCCUGCGCGUCCCCUCUUAAUUGCUUAAUUGUUACUUCCCACCCACCACCCAGCUCCCCUGGGGAGGUCCCCGCCGUGCCGGGGGCCGUUGGGGACCGUUGGGGACCGUUGGGAUCCGCAGGCCCCGCUCGCCGCGCUGAGGGGCCGGGCGUUACUGUAACUUCUACCUUUGGUUGAAAUAAGUUGCGUUCUCAGGUGACCAUGAAAUGCAGAAGGGCACCCGGUAACUGGCCAAGAAAUACUGCACCCGUUUUAGAGGAAGCUGUUUGGAAAGUCUGGGGAUUACCAAGCCAUGUGGGAAAUGACACCGGCAGAGGGCGCGUUACUUGAUGCUGCUGUGCCUUAAAUGCACCUCCAGGACCUGGCUAUGGCUGAACUGCUGCGAGGCACCUUUUGGGUAAAGAACUGCAUUUAUUCUGUACAAGUUGUGCUGAUGUUGCUCAUACAUAACGCGACAAUCAACAUAUUCAGGUAACACUUGAUUAAAAGGCUGUGGCUUUUCAGGUACUCACUACAAAAGCACAUAAAACCGUGUGCAUUAUACGGCUUUUAAAAUUUUAAAUGAUUAGUUAAGGUGAAGCAGACCACCCAUAUGAAUUUCUUCCCACAAGAUCACUGCUCAGUGAUGAGUCCAGAUUAACACAUAUACUCAGGCAAUCCCUCUGUUGUCCCAAAAUGGGCUUUGCUGCAUUUCCUGUCUGCUUCAGUGCAGAGAAGAGCUAGGGUUAUGCAUGUUAUGCAGGUGUGUUUCUGCUGCAGGUGUGGAACAAGUCUCUAGGUGUGAAGGGUGUUGGUGGCCUGGAGGAAGUACCUGUCUUGCUUCUGCUCUGAAUCAAAACCACUGCCCUACACAUGGUCCAUGUUCUGUUUUCACUCGUGCCAUGGGGAAACA